rnacentral:lncRNA from 1 species
GUGUUUUGCUGUUGGCGAUGUUGUUGAUGUUGUGGUUGAUACACUUGUUGUUGUUGCAUUGGCUGUUGAUAAGGUAUGGGUACCACGGCGACGACUUGGCCAUAUGAAGCCUGUUUCUUCCCCUUAUAGCCUCUGGAUAUAGCGUUUGUUUCACCUUCUCUUUUCUUCGGGAAGCCUCCGGAAUACUUUUUCGGUGCGCUAGGGGCUGCCACAGCUCUUGGGAUCUUUCCAUCCCUCAACCCUUUUUCUAUGUGAUCUUUGAUUGUG